AUACGUAGAUGGCAAGCGUUAUCCGGAUUGACUGGGCUUAAAGGGUGCGUAGGCGGAUUAUUAAGUCAGAGGUGAAAUCCUGCGGCUUAACUGCAGAACUGCCAUUGAUACUGGUAGCCUUGAGUUUGGUUAAGGUAAGUGGAAUUCCUAAUGUAGCGGUGAAAUGCGUAGAUAUUAGGAGGAACACCAAUUGCGUAGGCGGCUUACUGGGCUGUAACUGACGCUGAGGCACGAAAGCGUGGGGAUCGAACAGGAUUAGAUACCCUGGUAGUCCACGCUGUAAACGAUGAAUGCUAGGUGUGGGGUGUAAAAUCUCCGUGGCGCAGUUAACACAAUAAGCAUUCCGCCUGGGGAGUACGGCCGCAAGGUUGA
rnacentral:rRNA from 1 species